UUACAUAUUGGGCAAAACAGGUGAAAGCCUGCGGCGCAAAGCUAAAGGGUCUAAGAUUUUAUUGAUUAUGACAGCCAGCUGCAGUU
rfam:Anaerostipes sp. CAG:276 genomic scaffold, scf94